ACCAGAAAUUUGACUAUAAAUGACGUAUAUAUAAUUAUCCUUUUAACCCAACUUGACACAGUCACCUAAGCUAAAAUAUGAAAAUACAGUUUCAAUAUAAUACAUAUUAAUACAAUCAUGUUAUGCUGUUGUGUUAAAGACAUCUUAUACACUGCACAAUUAAAGUCCCCGACUCGAAAACAGUGACUCGAAAUUUUCAUUGAGUAAAAU